GCGUGGGAAAUCUGCCGAGUAGNGGGGGACAACGUUUGGAAACGAACGCUAAUACCGCAUAACAAUGAGAAUCGCAUGAUUCUGAUUUAAAAGAAGCAACUGCUUCACUACUUGAUGAUCCCGCGUUGUAUUAGCUAGUUGGUAGUGUAAAGGACUACCAAGGCGAUGAUACAUAGCCGGCCUGAGAGGGUGAACGGCCACNCUGGGACUGAGACACGGCCCAGACUCCUACGGGAGGCAGCAGUAGGGAAUCUUCGGCAAUGGGGGCAACCCUGACCGAGCAACGCCGCGUGAGUGAAGAAGGUUUUCGGAUCGUAAAACUCUGUUGUUAGAGAAGAACGUUAAGUAGAGUGGAAAGUUACUUAAGUGACGGUAUCUAACCAGAAAGGGACGGCUAACUACGUGCCAGCAGCCGCGGUAAUACGUAGGUCCCGAGCGUUGUCCGGAUUUAUUGGGCGUAAAGCGAGCGCAGGUGGUUCCUUAAGUCUGAUGUAAAAGGCA
rnacentral:rRNA from 1 species